rnacentral:pre_miRNA from 1 species
AGGAGCAACAGCCCUAGUGGCGGAGCCAGCUCUGGAAACCUGGAUUCAGCUCCGGCAGUAACUCCGGAGCUCUCCGUCUGCAGGGCCUGGAGGCUCCGGGGCGGG